GGCUCUUUGUUACAUAUUAAUAAAGAGUCGGACCUGCCCAGUGAAUUUUUUCAACGGCCGCGGUACUCUGACCGUGCAAAGGUAGCAUAAUCAUUUGCCUUAUAACUGAAGGCUAGUAUGAAUGGUUUGACAAGAGUAUAACUGUCUCUUUGUAAUUAAUUAGAACUUUAUUUUUAGGUGAAGAAGCCUAUAUUAAAUUGAAAGACAAGAAGACCCUAUCGAGCUUUAAAGAAGUUGAUAAAUCUAAUUUUAAAUAAAGCAUUAAUAUUAUUUAUCAAAAAUUUUAGUUGGGGCGACUAAGGAACAAAAAAAGCUUCCUUUAAAAACUGAAAUUAAAACGUACAAGUAUUGAUCCAAAAUCUUUGAUUAGAGGAAUUAGUUACCGUAGGGAUAACAGCAUUAUCCUCUUUGAGAGUUCAUAUCGAAAAGAGGGCUUGUGACCUCGAUGUUGGACCAGAAUGUCCUAAAGAUGCAGCCGUCUUUAAGGGUUGGUCUGUUCGACCAUUAAAAUUCUACGUGAUCUGAGUUCAGACCGGCGUGAGCCAGGUCAGUUUCUAUCUUCAAUUUUCCUAAAUAAACUUAGUACGAAAGGACCAGAUUAUUGUAAGUGAUUGCUAGAGAUGUAGAUAAAAUAUAAUUUAUUACAUAAGUAUUUAAAUUUAAUUCAUUUUUUAAUCAAAUUAGCAAAGAUAAUGCAAUUGACUUAGGAUCAAUAGACAUAGGUGAAACCCCUUUAUUUGAUAUGUAUAAAUUAAAACAGAUAAAUAAUAAAGGUGGCAGAAUAAA
rnacentral:rRNA from 1 species